UACGUAGGGGGCAAGCGUUAUCCGGAUUUACUGGGUGUAAAGGGAGCGUAGUCGGUCUGACAAGUCAGAAGUGAAAGCCCGGGGCUCAACCUCGGGACUGCUUUUGAAACUGCCGGACUAGAUUGCAGGAGAGAUAAGUGGAAUUCCUAGUGUAGCGGUGAAAUGCGUAGAUAUUAGGAGGAACACCAGUGGCGAAGGCGGCUUACUGGACUGUAAAUGACGCUGAGGCUCGAAAGCGUGGGGAGCAAACAGG
rnacentral:rRNA from 1 species